GUACACGGGCCACAACAAACUCGAACAAAAGAAAGUUAGGAGUGUUUGAUAGAAAGAUAUUAAGGAAAAUCUUCGGUCCAAAGAGAAAUAAUGAUGGAAAGUAUGAGGUAAGAGGCAACGGAGAAUUGGAUGGUCUCUAUAAGGAACCUACCAUUAGUAGGUAAUAACAAUAUGUUAUUGCGGCGAUGGGCCUUAAAGGCCUGUAAAAGCCCAGAAGAAAAAGGUCAUAUUUGUUAGUUGAGAUGAAUUAUAUAUAGAGAGUUGUGUAUCCAAGUAUGUACAAUGUUUAAAAAACGCUCGACUAAAUACAACAGAUUUUUCACUACUUAUUUCUACAGUAAUUUCCUUAAAAUAAUUUAAAAUCUCACAUGACUUGAAAAUAAUGUACCAGUCUUCAUUGGUCUCAAGUAAAUAUUAUAAUUGCACUCUAUUAAGACCGAAGAAAGAGGAACUUUAAGAUUGUUAAUUCGUUG